GUAAGAGUUUCAGAUACUUUGACUACUGCAGAGUGGACUUUCCUUAUUCAGCUAACAAGUCUGAAGACCCACGUUCUCAAGUUAGGACAGACAAAACGAGAGUAGCUUGAACUGAUCAGGCUUGAAAGGUCCUUUUCUUCAUUGGUAGAAGAGUUGACUUGCAAAGGGAAUCUUUACAGCUUUCAAAGAGAUCUUCAGAGGUUGAUGAAGCUUUAGUCACUCAAGAAGUU
rnacentral:lncRNA from 1 species